CGCCAGACUCCUACGGGAGGCAGCAGUGGGGAAUAUUGCACAAUGGGGGAAACCCUGAUGCAGCGACGCCGCGUGAGUGAAGAAGUAAUUCGUUAUGUAAAGCUCUAUCAGCAGGGAAGAAAAUGACGGUACCUGAGUAAGAAGCCCCGGCUAACUACGUGCCAGCAGCCGCGGUAAUACGUAGGGGGCAAGCGUUAUCCGGAUUUACUGGGUGUAAAGGGCGUGUAGGCGGGACUGCAAGUCAGAUGUGAAAACCAUGGGCUCAACCCAUGGCCUGCAUUUGAAACUGUAGUUCUUGAGUGUUGGAGAGGCAGGCGGAAUUCCGUGUGUAGCGGUGAAAUGCGUAGAUAUACGGAGGAACACCAGUGGCGAAGGCGGCCUGCUGGACAAUAACUGACGCUGAGGCGCGAAAGCGUGGGGAGCAAACAGGAUUAGAUACCCUUGUA
rnacentral:rRNA from 1 species